rnacentral:lncRNA from 1 species
CACAGCACCAUACCAGCUACUAGGAAGAAAAAAAAAACUUUCACAGCUGAAACCAUGGCACCAACUAACAACUGAACUGACCAGCUGGAGGUUCUUAUUUUCCUCAAAAGAAAAGGCAACAUUUAAUUCAUUGAUUUUUUUUUUUUUUUUCAAUUCUUGUAUUGUGAGUAAUGAUACCAGGGUUAGCAAAUUUAUUAACUUCAACCCUUCAUUAAUGCAGAGUGGAAAAGCAAUUUAAUUCUGUGAUGCGAAAAUAGAAUCAACUUCGGAAGGACCCUAGGAGAGCCUGGGAAGACGCUUUCCACAAUUGUGUGAGGUUAACAGACAGAGACGUAUGUUUUUUGGGGAAUGCAUCAGUUUGUCACACAUUGGAAACAAGCUCAUCUUUUUCUGUUGGAAGAUUCUUCACUGGACUGAUGGGUUCUGACCGGCGCCGGCAGUGGUGGAGAUGGUGGCAGCAAGUGGUAGCAUCAGAGUCAGGUGCUGAGAGGCAGGCAGGCAGGCGCGGGAGCCCCCUGUGCAGGCCACGUUGCUCCCAGCAGCAAGCAUCACCGUGGCAGGGCAGUCCUAUCCUGCCCCAUGUCAUCCAGCCAGGAAAGACCCG